UAUGUGUAUAUAUGUAUAUAAAUGCCGAUUUAGCCUCUUUCAUCUUCCCUUGGUGUACCUCUUCUAAUUUACUAAAGGCACUCUAAGGCUUUUGUAAUACUGUUGCAUUACGAUAGUAUAGUCUUACGUGUACUUCUCAUACUGACUUACUUGAAGACACUGUUCUA